rnacentral:rRNA from 1 species
UACAGAGGUCUCAAGCGUUUGUUCGGAUUCUUGGGCGUAAAGGGUGCGUAGGCGGCCCGUUAAGUCAGUGGUGAAAGCCUCCAGCUCAACUGGAGAACUGCCAUUGAUACUGACGGGCUUGAGUACAGACGAGGUAGGCGGAAUUGAUUGUGUAGCGGUGAAAUGCAUAGAUACAAUCAAGAACACCGAUUGCGUAGGCAGCUUACUAGGCUGUAACUGACGCUGAGGCACGAAAGCGUGGGGAGCGAACAGG